AAUAUUGCACAAUGGAGGAAACUCUGAUGCAGCGACGCCGCGUGAACGAUGAAGGCUUUCGAGUCGUAAAGUUCUUUCCUAGGGGACGAUAAUGACGGUACCCUAGGAGGAAGCCCCGGCUAACUACGUGCCAUCAGCCGCGGUAAUACGUAGGGGGCAAGCGUUGUCCGGAUUUAUUGGGCGUAAAGGGUUCGCAGGCGGCCUUUUAAGUCAGAUGUGAAAGACUACAGCUCAACUGUGGUAAGCAUUUGAAACUGAAAGGCUUGAGUUAAGGAGAGGAAAGUGGAAUUCCUAGUGUAGCGGUGAAAUGCGUAGAUAUUAGGAGGAAUACCAGUGGCGAAGGCGACCUUCUGGACCGUUUCUGACGCUCAGAUGCGAAAGCUAGGGGAGCGAACGGG
rnacentral:rRNA from 1 species